rnacentral:rRNA from 1 species
GAUGAACGCUGGCGGCGUGCCUGAUACAUGCAAGUCGAGCGAACGGACGAGAAGCUUGCUUCUCUGAUGUUAGCGGCGGACGGGUGAGUAACACGUGGAUAACCUACCUAUAAGACUGGGAUAACUUCGGGAAACCGGAGCUAAUACCGGAUAAUAUUUUGAACCGCAUGGUUCAAAAGUGAAAGACGGUCUUGCUGUCACUUAUAGAUGGAUCCGCGCUGCAUUAGCUAGUUGGUAAGGUAACGGCUUACCAAGGCAACGAUGCAUAGCCGACCUGAGAGGGUGAUCGGCCACACUGGAACUGAGACACGGUCCAGACUCCUACGGGAGGCAGCAGUAGGGAAUCUUCCGCAAUGGGCGAAAGCCUGACGGAGCAACGCCGCGUGAGUGAUGAAGGUCUUCGGAUCGUAAAACUCUGUUAUUAGGGAAGAACAUAUGUGUAAGUAACUGUGCACAUCUUGACGGUACCUAAUCAGAAAGCCACGGCUAACUACGUGCCAGCAGCCGCGGUAAUACGUAGGUGGCAAGCGUUAUCCGGAAUUAUUGGGCGUAAAGCGCGCGUAGGCGGUUUUUUAAGUCUGAUGUGAAAGCCCACGGCCUCAACCGUGGAGGGUCAUUGGAAACUGGAAAACUUGAGUGCAGAAGAGGAAAGUGGAAUUCCAUGUGUAGCGGUGAAAUGCGCAGAGAUAUGGAGGAACACCAGUGGCGAAGGCGACUUUCUGGUCUGUAACUGACGCUGAUGUGCGAAAGCGUGGGGAUCAAACAGGAUUAGAUACCCUGGUAGUCCACGCCGUAAACGAUGAGUGCUAAGUGUUAGGGGGUUUCCGCCCCUUAGUGCUGCAGCUAACGCAUUAAGCACUCCGCCUGGGGAGUACGACCGCAAGGUUGAAACUCAAAGGAAUUGACGGGGACCCGCACAAGCGGUGGAGCAUGUGGUUUAAUUCGAAGCAACGCGAAGAACCUUACCAAAUCUUGACAUCCUUUGACAACUCUAGAGAUAGAGCCUUCCCCUUCGGGGGACAAAGUGACAGGUGGUGCAUGGUUGUCGUCAGCUCGUGUCGUGAGAUGUUGGGUUAAGUCCCGCAACGAGCGCAACCCUUAAGCUUAGUUGCCAUCAUUAAGUUGGGCACUCUAAGUUGACUGCCGGUGACAAACCGGAGGAAGGUGGGGAUGACGUCAAAUCAUCAUGCCCCUUAUGGUUUGGGCUACACACGUGCUACAAUGGACAAUACAAAGGGCAGCGAAACCGCGAGGUCAAGCAAAUCCCAUAAAGUUGUUCUCAGUUCGGAUUGUAGUCUGCAACUCGACUACAUGAAGCUGGAAUCGCUAGUAAUCGUAGAUCAGCAUGCUACGGUGAAUACGUUCCCGGGUCU